GUUACGGCGGCUAUAGCGUGGGGGAAACGCCCGGCCGUAUAUCGAACCCGGAAGCUAAGCCCCAUAGCGCCGAUGGUUACUGUAACCGGGAGGUUGUGGGAGAGUAGGUCGCCGCCGUGA
rnacentral:rRNA from 1 species